AUUGAACGCUGGCGGCAUGCCUUACACAUGCAGGUCGAACGGCAGCGGACCUUCGGGUGCCGGCGAGUGGCGAACGGGUGAGUAAUAUAUCGGAACGUACCUUUCAGUGGGGGAUAACGUAGCGAAAGUUACGCUAAUACCGCAUAUUCUGUGAGCAGGAAAGCAGGGGAUCGCAAGACCUUGCGCUGAUUGAGCGGCCGAUAUCAGAUUAGCUAGUUGGUGAGGUAAAGGCUCACCAAGGCGACGAUCUGUAGCGGGUCUGAGAGGAUGAUCCGCCACACUGGAACUGAGACACGGUCCAGACUCCUACGGGAGGCAGCAGUAGGGAAUAUUGGACAAUGGGGGGAACCCUGAUCCAGCCAUGCCGCGUGAGGGAGAAGGUCCUCUGGAUUGUAAACCUCUUUUGGCAGGAAACAAACCUGCGCUAUACGCGCAGCUGAGGGUACCUGCAGAAUAAGCACCGGCUAACUCCGUGCCAG
rnacentral:rRNA from 1 species